GAUGAACGCUGGCGGCGUGCCUAACACAUGCAAGUCGAACGGAGUCCAGCCUUUAAGACCUUCGGGUCAAAGAGGGGAAGACUGAGUGGCGGACGGGUGAGUAACACGUGGGCAACCUGGCUCAUAGAGGGGGAUAACAGAGAGAAAUUUCUGCUAAUACCGCAUAAGCACACACUGCCGCAUGGCAGAGGGUGAAAAGAGAAUCGCUAUGAGAUGGACCCGCGUCUGAUUAGCCAGUUGGCAGGGUAAGAGCCUACCAAAGCGACGAUCAGUAGCCGAUCUGAGAGGAUGAACGGCCACAUUGGGACUGAGACACGGCCCAAACUCCUACGGGAGGCAGCAGUGGGGGAUAUUGCACAAUGGGGGGAACCCUGAUGCAGCGACGCCGCGUGAGUGAAGAAGUAUUUCGGUAUGUAAAGCUCUAUCAGCAGGGAAGAUAAUGACAGUACCUGAAGAAGAAGCCCCGGCUAACUACGUG
rnacentral:rRNA from 1 species